CUCGUAGGCGGCCGACUAAGUCGGACGUGAAAUCCCUCGGCUUAACCGGGGAACUGCGUCCGAUACUGGCAGGCUUGAAUCCGGGAGAGGGAUGCGGAAUUCCAGGUGUAGCGGUGAAAUGCGUAGAUAUCUGGAGGAACACCGGUGGCGAAGGCGGCAUCCUGGACCGGCAUUGACGCUGAGGAGCGAAAGCCAGGGGAGCAAACGG
rnacentral:rRNA from 1 species